rnacentral:tRNA from 1 species
CCUUUUGUGGCGUAGUGGUAACGCACCCUAACUAGAGAUCAGGAAGUCAUGAGUUCGAUUCUCACCGAGAAGA